CACGUAGGCACCAAGCGUUGUUCGGAAUUACUGGGCGUAAAGGGCUCGUAGGCGGCCAACUAAGUCAGACGUGAAAUCCCUCGGCUUAACCGGGGAACUGCGUCUGAUACUGGAUGGCUGGAGUUUGGGAGAGGGAUGCGGAAUUCCAGGUGUAGCGGUGAAAUGCGUAGAUAUCUGGAGGAACACCGGUGGCGAAGGCGGCAUCCUGGACCAACACUGACGCUGAGGAGCGAAAGCCAGGGGAGCAAACGGG
rnacentral:rRNA from 1 species